AUUGAACGCUGGCGGCAGGCCUAACACAUGCAAGUCGGGCGAGCCGCGGACGGGAGAGUAAUGUAUGGGGAUCUGCCUGAUGGCGGGGGAAAACUAAUGGAAACGGUAGCUAAUACCGCAAUCCAUCAGAUGACCCCAUAUGGGAUUAGCUAGUAGGUAAGGUAACGGCUUACCGAGGCCACGAUCCCUAGCUGGUCUGAGAGGAUGAUCAGCCACACGGGAACGGAGACACGGUCCAGACGCCUACGGGAGGCAGCAGUGGGGAAUAUUGCACAAUGGGCGCAAGCCUGAUGCAGCCAUGCCGCGUGUGUGAAGAAGGCCUUCGGGUUGUAAAGUACUUUCAGUCGGGAGGCGGUACCGACAGAAGAAGCACCGGCUAACUCCGUGCCAGCAGCCGCGGUAAUUC
rnacentral:rRNA from 1 species